AUUGAACGCUGGCGGCAGGCUUAACACAUGCAAGUCGAGCGGGGGAAGGUAGCUUGCUACCGGACCUAGCGGCGGACGGGUGAGUAAUGCUUAGGAAUCUGCCUAUUAGUGGGGGACAACAUCUCGAAAGGGAUGCUAAUACCGCAUACGUCCUACGGGAGAAAGCAGGGGAUCUUCGGACCUUGCGCUAAUAGAUGAGCCUAAGUCGGAUUAGCUAGUUGGUGGGGUAAAGGCCUACCAAGGCGACGAUCUGUAGCGGGUCUGAGAGGAUGAUCCGCCACACUGAGACUGAGACACAGCCCAGACUCCUACGGGAGGCAGCAGUGUGGAAUAUUGGACAAUGGGGGGAACCCUGAUCCAGCCAUGCCGCGUGUGUGAAGAAGGCCUUAUGGUUGUAAAGCACUUUAAGCGAGGAGGAGGCUACUCUAGUUAAUACCUAGGGAUAGUGGACGUUACUCGCAGAAUAAGCACCGGCUAACUCUGUGCCAGCAGCCGCAGUAA
rnacentral:rRNA from 1 species